GAAAAAUGAACGUGGCCUUCGGACACAGGGUGGUCCCUUGCCAGGGACUGGAUGGAACUGGUUCAAUUCCCCGCUCCUGGGCUUCCUGGUGUGCAACGUGAGCCAUGCUCACCCCAGGGUGGCUGGGAAAAAACGCCGGUCCGCUCUGAGCAUUCGUUUCAGUGAUGGCUGUUCUUGUUCACGUGAGAUGUGCCAACUCUACAAUACUAAACCGUUGGGAGAAGCUUCAAGGGGACAGCACCUGGGGAGGGGCAGUGGCGGGCUCCAGGUUGCCCAAGGCUGUCAUGGAGAGGAGGAGACCCCAGUCCAGCCCAGCCUUGUGCCUGCAGUGGAGGUUCCAGUUGUGAAGGGGCUCCAAGUGCCUUGUUCAUCCUUUGCUUGAUAAUGAACCACCUCUGCCAGGUGCCAGCUGUACUGUGCACCUGCAGCUCCACACCCUCUAGGCACCAGCCCCUCCACUCUUUGGCCUCUUCGACAGGGAACCCCGAGGGGACAGUGGAGCAGGCCUGGGGCUGUUCCAGGCAGCAGGGGGGCGCCUGGGUCAGCGUCCCCACCCGCUGCCCUCCCCGGCCUUCCAACUUGCUGUGUGCACAUUAACAACAUGGACGGUCUUUUUCUUUUAUUAUAAAAGUGAUUCAUUCUCUUGUGAAGAUUUAAAUAUGAAAGAGUGGAUCUCCGCUAAUCCCACCCGGUGAUGAUAGCAGCCGACAGAUGGGCGAGCAUAGAGCUCAGACAUUGCCAGCAGCGUCAGAUCCUUAUAUAUCCAGAGCACGGCUCACACGCCACCGCCCUGCUGGCUCUGUCAGCCGCAUGGUCCUCCGCGACACCUGGGGCUCUCCCUCCUUCCUUUGUGUGCACAACCUCAAAGCCAUUUUUUCCAGACUUGGCGUGAAGAUGAUUUUCUGACACGUUGAUGCUUCUGAAGCACAAGGAGGGCCCUGUCUCCACGGUGUCCAAGCAGAGGCUGACAUCCUUUCAGGAGGGAGGUGAUUCGGGCGCAGCUGGGCUGGCGGGAGGCAUGGAGGCUGAGUCCCCUUCCUCACUGCUCUCUACCUCCCAAGAGAGGGGGAGCCUCCUGUUAAGCAUCCAAGUCCCAAGUCACCGGCCGGCAUCGGCUGCAGCUCUCUGUGUGUGGAGACAUCUCAUUCUGGUGUCUUCUUUACACAGGUCAGCGCUCACAGGCUCGGCUGUGUCUCAAGACCCAAUUCCUUCGAGUCACUGAGAUGCCCAAGGACAAGGGCAACAGAGAGUGUGAAAAGCUGGAGUAGACAGGACAGAAAACAGGGUGCAGCGUCCCCCAGGUUGGCAGAUAGCCCAGCCCCAGGGACCCCACAGCCAUGGCAACCUGUGUGAAUGAGCCCCAGGAGCAGGGCAGUACACGAUCUGCGCGACUGUGCGGGGCAGCCCUGGGUCUCUGCCUCAGGGGAGAGAUUGUGUCCUCGCCUUUUGUGGUUUCUAGAGGUUCCUGCCCUCCUUGGCUGCACGGCAUCUCCCAGCCUCUCUCUCCCUUCCGUCGUCCCCUCUCCUCCUCUGACCCUGACCCUCCCAGUCCCUCUUAGAGGGGCUGUGAUUAAACUGUGCCCACCCUGACCAUCCAGAAUAAUCUCCCAUCUCAAGGUCCUUAACAGCAUGUGGAACUGCACUAGCCGCCCCAAGGCCCCCAAAAGGCAACCCUGGAUUGGGCCCCCCAAGUUGCCUGGGAUUCAUGGCCACCACCCGGCUCGACGGCUCCAGACCGAAAUGCACCCAGUUAUAG
rnacentral:lncRNA from 1 species